rnacentral:rRNA from 1 species
GCUUAACACAUGCAAGUCGAGGGGCAGCAUUUCAGUUUGCUUGCAAACUGGAGAUGGCGACCGGCGCACGGGUGAGCAACACGUAUCCAACCUGCCGAUAACUCGGGGAUAGCCUUUCGAAAGAAAGAUUAAUACCCGAUGGUAUAAUCAGACCGCAUGGUCUUGUUAUUAAAGAAUUUCGGUUAUCGAUGGGGAUGCGUUCCAUUAGGCAGUUGGUGAGGUAACGGCUCACCAAACCUUCGAUGGAUAGGGGUUCUGAGAGGAAGGUCCCCCACAUUGGAACUGAGACACGGUCCAAACUCCUACGGGAGGCAGCAGUGAGGAAUAUUGGUCAAUGGGCGCAGGCCUGAACCAGCCAAGUAGCGUGAAGGAUGACUGCCCUAUGGGUUGUAAACUUCUUUUAUAUGGGAAUAAAGUUUUCCACGUGUGGAAUUUUGUAUGUACCAUAUGAAUAAGGAUCGGCUAACUCCGUGCCAGCAGCCGCGGUAAUACGGAGGAUCCGAGCGUUAUCCGGAUUUAUUGGGUUUAAAGGGAGCGUAGGUGGACAGUUAAGUCAGUUGUGAAAGUUUGCGGCUCAACCGUAAAAUUGCAGUUGAUACCGGCUGUCUUGAGUACAGUAGAGGUGGGCGGAAUUCGUGGUGUAGCGGUGAAAUGCUUAGAUAUCACGAAGAACUCCGAUUGCGAAGGCAGCUCACUGGACUGCAACUGACACUGAUGCUCGAAAGUGUGGGUAUCAAACAGGAUUAGAUACCCUGGUAGUCCACACAGUAAACGAUGAAUACUCGCUGUUUGCGAUAUACAGUAAGCGGCCAAGCGAAAGCAUUAAGUAUUCCACCUGGGGAGUACGCCGGCAACGGUGAAACUCAAAGGAAUUGACGGGGGCCCGCACAAGCGGAGGAACAUGUGGUUUAAUUCGAUGAUACGCGAGGAACAUUACCCGGGCUUAAAUUGCAUUUGAAUAUAUUGGAAACAGUAUAGCCGUAAGGCAAAUGUGAAGGUGCUGCAUGGUUGUCGUCAGCUCGUGCCGUGAGGUGUCGGCUUAAGUGCCAUAACGAGCGCAACCCUUAUCUUUAGUUACUAACAGGUCAUGCUGAGGACUCUAGAGAGACUGCCGUCGUAAGAUGUGAGGAAGGUGGGGAUGACGUCAAAUCAGCACGGCCCUUACGUCCGGGGCUACACACGUGUUACAAUGGGGGGUACAGAAGGCAGCUACCUGGUGACAGGAUGCUAAUCCCAAAAGCCUCUCUCAGUUCGGAUCGAAGUCUGCAACCCGACUUCGUGAAGCUGGAUUCGCUAGUAAUCGCGCAUCAGCCAUGGCGCGGUGAAUACGUUCCCGGGCCUUGUACACACCGCCCGUCAAGCCAUGAAAGCCGGGGGUACCUGAAGUACGUAACCGCAAGGAGCGUCCUAGGGUAAAACUGGUAAUUGGGGCUAAGUCAUAACAAG